CACGUAAGAAUCUGCCCCUCGGUCGGGGACAACUCUUGGAAACGAGAGCUAAUACCCGAUACGCUGUGGAGUGAAAGAAUUUCGCCGAGGGAUGAUCUUGCGUCUGAUUAGCUAGUUGGUGUGGUAAUGGCAUACCAAGGCGACGAUCAGUAGCUGGUCUGAGAGGAUGGACAGCCACAUUGGAACUGAGACACGGUCCAAACUCCUACGGGAGGCAGCAGUGGGGAAUAUUGCACAAUGGGCGAAAGCCUGAUGCAGCCAUGCCGCGUGUGUGAAGAAGGCCUUCGGUUGUAAGCACUU
rnacentral:rRNA from 1 species